AGAAAUCAAAGCAUCAAGAUCUUCACCUGAAAGCUGAUACUUAAAAGAAAUAUCAGUAUCUCCGCAAACGGCAGCAAGCUUACUGAUCAUGACGGAGAACUUAAUAUUCCGAUCAACGGCAAGAAUUUUGGUCUCCCCACCAAUGUAAGAAAGCUGGUUAUCAUGAGGGCGAGGAUGGAUCUUGCCGCCAUAGCUGCACAUAAACUUAGCUUUAUAAUCCUGAGGCUGCUGCUGCUGGGAUUGGUCCUCCCAUGGCGUGGGAUUCUCGAACUCAAUUUCGCGGGAUCGAGGAGAGGAGUGGCCGGAAUCUGGGUAUGAAUUAUAAGAAUAGUUCUCCAUGUUUGUGGGUUUUGCAAAGGGAGUGGAAAUGGAAAGAGAGCAGAGAGGGUUUUGAGAGGCGGGUGGUGGAGGGUGGAAGGGUAAUUAAAAGUCCAUGAGCAAGAGCAAGAGCAAGAGCAAGAGUGGGAAGCGAAAUAGAGGGGUGAAG
rnacentral:misc_RNA from 1 species